CUACGGGGUGCAGCAGUGGGGAAUAUUGCACAAUGGGCGCAAGCCUGAUGCAGCCAUGCCGCGUGUAUGAAGAAGGCCUUCGGGUUGUAAAGUACUUUCAGCGGGGAGGAAGGGAGUAAAGUUAAUACCUUUGCUCAUUGACGUUACCCGCAGAAGAAGCACCGGCUAACUCCGUGCCAGGCAGCCGCGGUAAUACGGAGGGUGCAAGCGUUAAUCGGAAUUACUGGGCGUAAAGCGCACGCAGGCGGUUUGUUAAGUCAGAUGUGAAAUCCCCGGGCUCAACCUGGGAACUGCAUCUGAUACUGGCAAGCUUGAGUCUCGUAGAGGGGGGUAGAAUUCCAGGUGUAGCGGUGAAAUGCGUAGAGAUCUGGAGGAAUACCGGUGGCGAAGGCGGCCCCCUGGACGAAGACUGACGCUCAGGUGCGAAAGCGGGGGGAGCAAACAGGAUUAGAUACCCGCGUAGUC
rnacentral:rRNA from 1 species